CGGUCGUGGACCCGGAGGAAGGAGGUGCAGGGCCGACGCAGUCCCGGGGCCUCCGACCCGACCCCGGAGCGCGUGGCCGGCCCUCUGGAGGCGUCCGGCUGGCUCCUCCACCGCGCUGGGCCGCGCUCUGCCCGGUCCGCGCCUCGCCGCGGCUGACAGCGGGAGAUCGGCACUGGCACUCGGGAGCCUCGCGCGGGCGGGCAGACGCCCUUGGCGAGUCCCUGCAGCCAACCCGGACACCGGACGCCGGACCCCGUCCUGAGCGGCAACCCGCGGCAGAAACCAGCUGGCCGGCCCCCUAGCAGGCGCUAUUCCCCUCUGGGCCUCCUGUGCCCUUUACUUCCUCCUUUUCAAUCAUUUGUAUUUCUUCGCCCGCCAGUCUUACAGUGUGGGGCUUUUCCCCAGUUCAUGCUUCCUGUUUGGUUAACCUGGAAGCGAAGCCUUGUCAGGCGCGUUUCACUCGGGCAGCCCUUCCCAGGGCCGCUGCGCUUCGCCCUUCCCUCUCAGAUCGCAAGCCGCGUUUCCUGUCUGAGACCCGGCCCUGGUGGAGCCGCUCACCCGGGUGCGGUGUCCGAGGACUUCAGGAUCCAUGUGGUUUUUACCGAGUCCGAGUCCGAGUCUGCAUCAAACUCCGUGACCUGAGAGGAGCCCUGGUCCAGCCAGCGGGUGGAGGGAGCGCCAGACCUGCGGCCGAGCCUCCGACCCGAAGGAGGACCUCGGUGGCUCAGGGCUCCUCUGACAGCGCCCUGCCAGGCGGGCGGAGGACACGCCGGGCCACCGAGCUCGCCUCUGCCACGCGGGACAAAGCGUUCGGGGCGCUGGCCGAGGCCGGCAUGAGAGGAGGAACAAGAUGACGAUUUGCUGGAUGCCAGCGGGACCCGGUAUCAGUGUCCUUCAUGACAGUUUCCAUCCACAACGAAACCAGCAUUUUCUCAACAUAAAGCUCAGAUUCAAGCUGGGUACCGUGGUGCACACCUGUAAUCCCGGCACUCGGGAGGCUGAAGCAGGCAGGAUCACCGUGAGCUCAAGGGCAGCCUGGGCUACUCAGUGAGACCUCAUCUCAAAAUAAAACAAAACAGCAG
rnacentral:lncRNA from 1 species